CGGGUCAGACGGGCCUCUGCUCCCCACCUUGGCUAUGGCCUUCCUGUGCACUCUGCCAGCAGGGACCCCACUGGACUCAGCUCCAGCGGGUGGACAGGAACCAGCUUGUGGUGCCAGACACCAACACCAUUUGCUUCUGAUGCCUGACCAUGGGCAACUCUACUCCCUCCAUCUGGCUGAAGAGCCAGAAGAAGUUCUGUGGAAAGCAUCACACGCGAGCAUCGAGGUGGGCCUGGAGGGUGGUGGGGGCAUGGCUGCCAUCCUCUCUCGCCCUUCCACUUGGAGCCGAGGCACCGGCAGUAGAGUCUGGUUAUGAAGAGGGCGGUGCGUUCAGACUGCUGUUUUCCACACAUGUCAUGAAGAACAAGCUCAGCAGCAUCCAGCAAACUUACAUGCUGGACAGGCUGUGUGUGGGCUGUGGCCUUCAGGCAGGGAGCAUGAAGUGAGGUAGCCCUAAGCCCAGCUGGGCCCUCUCAAUGUGUUCUCCUCACCAGCGCCUUCUGCUAGGCAGCGAGGUGCAGCUCCAUGGCAGGUGUACAGCACCUUAGCACACGGAGGUGAAUGUCAGCAAGGCGGGCCUGGACAGCACACCGUACCUCACUGUUCUCAA
rnacentral:lncRNA from 1 species